AGCCCUGCUCCAGGGUGGCCUGGUGCCCGCCCCUCCGUGCGCGCUGCCCCCAUUCAGCGGCCGACACCUGCCAUCCCACCGCCGGAUUCUCUUCCCAGCUCCUGCUCCUUCUCUUCCCUUAGGCCUUCGUCCCGGUGCCACCUCAGGAGAGGCGCUCCCGGCCGCCUGACUCGCCACCCCAGUCCUCUGCACCCCGGUGCCCAGCUCGCUGCUCCAUCACCCUGCUCAUUUAUCUGUGCGCGCCUGAGUGUCCCGCCGCACGCCGUCUGCUCCCGUGUACCCACACCUGGCCCUGCACCCCGGACAGGUUCCUGUGAAGGGUAUCACCUCGCAAGGCCCCAGGGUUCCUCAGGAGUCUGUGCGCUGUGACCGUUCCUCAGCCCUCUCUUGCUUCUGUGACCUUAACACCUUUGAGGAGCGCUGCUCUGUGACGGAAAGAACAUGAUUUACUUGCUCCGUCAAUAUCUCUUUUGAGUUCCACGAGGCUUGCUCAUCACGAUUCUAAAUCAUCGAGAAUCUCAAAGAAAGGAGGAAAGGAUAAAACUUAAAAGAAGAUAGAUCGUCUACACUGAGUUGAGAAAAGUUGCUACAAAGAGAGAACGUCUAGCGGACUCUAAUCCCCCAGUGGAAAGAGGACCCAGCCAUGGCAGGGUUAAGUGCUGCAGGGAUUUCCGGACAGGACUGCAGGGACCCUCGAAUCCCCGCCCCCUCAGCCAUCCAAGCAAUGGGAGCCUCAGAGGCAAGCCAAAUAAUAUCCAAGGAAACCCGGGCUCAGGUUUCAGCAUCUGGAGGAAACGUGAGAUUUUGUUUGGUGACUUGAUAAAGUGGACGCAGGCUUAGCCAGAGGUGGAUAUGUUGGAAGCCCAAGUCAAAGGCUGUUCCUGUUCAGGAGGGAGCAGAUGCCAGACCUGAUUUUUAUUUCUAGACCAAACUCUUUGUGACAAAGCCUCAUGAGCUUGGAAGAGCAAUUUUCCUUCUUCAAACUCUGAGUGCCUAUCACCUCCAUGUCCCUCUCCCUCUCCCUCCCUCCUCCCCCACUUCCCACCACCAGUCUUUUCUUUUCCAUAAUAAAACAGCAAUGUAAUCAG